AUUGAACGCUGGCGGCAGGACUAACACAUGCAAGUCGAACGGAGUGGCGGACGGGUGAGAAAUGUCUGGGAAAAUGCCCGAUGGUGGGGGGUAACUACUGGAAACGGUAGAUAAUACCGCAUACUAUCAGAUGAGCCUAGGUGGGAUUAGCUAGUCGGUGGGGUAAAGGCAGACCAAGGCGACGAUCCGUAACUGGGCUGAGAGGAUGAUCGGUCACACUGUACUGGAGCCACGGUCCAGACUCCUACGGGAGGCAGCAGUGGGGAAUAUUGGACAAGGGGCGAAAGCCGGAUCCAGCCAUGCCGCGUGUGUGAAGAGGGUCUUCGGAUUGUAAAGCACUUUGAGUUGGGAGGCGUUACCAACAGAAUAAGCACCGGCUAACUUCGUGCCAGCAGCCGCGGUAAUAC
rnacentral:rRNA from 1 species